GCGUGGAGUUGGCUCUAGAGCGGGGCUGUUUGGAAAUGGGAUUUGGGGCCUGAGACUGUUGGAGGUUCCAUGUGGCAGCCUGGACUUAGGUGAGCCUAGGAAAAGCAACUCGCUCAGUUAACAGAAGGACUCAAGCCUCCGCCCGUCACAAAGUCUCAGAGCUGGUGGGGUCAGUGGGAGCCCAGCCGCGCUUCUUCUGCCGCUCGCUCCUGCCUGUCUUCAGCUUCACACUUUUUGCCUCAAGUUGGCGGUAUUACAGUAGGGGAGGAGGAGUCAUCCUUAAGUCUGGACCAAAACUUGAAGGAAUGAGAUCCUCGAGAGGUGGGAUAGGAAGAAGUCGAUCUUUGACCGAAUCUUACCCCAGGCUGUGAACAGCUGAGAAUGCAGCAAGAAGUUGGAAGACCCUCAGAGAGAAAUCGGAUGAAGUCCUUGUUGGCUCGAGGAUGCAAUCAAUGACUGCAGGCUGCUGGCUUUUGUCAGUUUUGAAGCUUCUGGAAAGCUGAGCAGAUGAGCCCAGCAGCCCUCAGUCCUGAAGGAGUCCUGCCUCCUCCCAGCCCCAACCUGGGGUCCCAGAGUGCACGUAUAAGAACAAGAUUUUACUUUCUCUAUUAUUCACACUGUUAAAGUUAAGAAGUAUAAUGGGAUAUGUAACCGCAUUUAUAGUUUGUUAUUUUGUUAUUUUUAUAUGUUGCAUUUAUUAAAUCAAGUUUUAUGUUGCCUUGUCUUAAUUUUCAAAGCAUGUGUUAUUUAAUAUCAAAUAUUUACUCUCUUACAAUAAAGAAAAAAUACAUCAACC
rnacentral:lncRNA from 1 species